CGUCAAAUCAUCAUGCCCCUUACGAUCUGGGCUACACACGUGCUACAAUGGUCAGUACAAAGAGAAGCGAGCAGGUGACUGUAAGCAAACCUCAAAAAGCUGAUCUCAGUUCGGAUUGUAGUCUGCAACUCGACUACAUGAAGCUGGAAUCGCUAGUAAUCGCGGAUCAGAAUGCCGCGGUGAAUACGUUCCCGGGCCUU
rnacentral:rRNA from 1 species